rnacentral:rRNA from 1 species
UACGGGGGGGGCGAAGCGUUGUUCGGAAUUACUGGGCGUAAAGCGUGCGCAGGCGGUUAUGCAAGACAGAUGUGAAAUCCCCGGGCUCAACCUGGGAACUGCAUUUGUGACUGCAUAGCUAGAGUGCGGCAGAGGGAGAUGGAAUUCCGCGUGUAGCAGUGAAAUGCGUAGAUAUGCGGAGGAACACCGAUGGCGAAGGCAAUCUCCUGGGCCUGCACUGACGCUG